rnacentral:rRNA from 1 species
AUUGAACGCUGGCGGCAGGCUUAACACAUGCAAGUCGAGCGAGCGGCGGACGGGUGAGCAAUGUCUGGGCAACUGCCUGAUGGAGGGGGAUAACUACUGGAAACGGUAGCUAAUACCGCAUACCAUCAGAUGUGCCCAUAUGGGAUUAGCUAGUAGGGGGGGUAAUGGCCCACCGAGGCGACGAUCCCUAGCUGGUCUGAGAGGAUGACCAGCCACACUGGAACGGAUACACGGUCCAGACUCCUACGGGAGGCAGCAGUGGGGAAUAUUGGACAAUGGGCGCAAGCCUGAUGCAGCCAUGCCGCGUGCAUGAAGAAGGCCUUAGGGUUGUAAAGUACUUUCAGCGGGGAGGCGUUACCCGCAGAAGAAGCACCGGCUAACUCCGUGCCAGCAGCCGCGGUAAUUC